rnacentral:rRNA from 1 species
AUUGAACGCUGGCGGCAUGCCUUACACAUGCAAGUCGAACGGUAACAGGUCUUCGGAUGCUGACGAGUGGCGAACGGGUGAGUAAUACAUCGGAACGUGCCUAGUAGUGGGGGAUAACUACUCGAAAGAGUGGCUAAUACCGCAUGAGAUCUACGGAUGAAAGCAGGGGAUCGCAAGACCUUGUGCUACUAGAGCGGCCGAUGGCAGAUUAGGUAGUUGGUGGGAUAAAAGCUUACCAAGCCGAAGAUCUGUAGCUGGUCUGAGAGGACGAUCAGCCACACUGGGACUGAGACACGGCCAGACUCCUACGGGAGGCAGCAGUGGGGAAUUUUGGACAAUGGGCGCAAGCCUGAUCCAGCAAUGCCGCGUGCAGGAUGAAGGCCUUCGGGUUGUAAACUGCUUUUGUACGGAACGAAAAGCCCUGGGUUAAUACCCUGGGGUCAUGACGGUACCGUAAGAAUAAGCACCGGCUAACUCUGUGCCAGCCGCCGCGGUAA